GUGUCAGCAGCCGCGGUAAAACGUAGGAGCCAAGCGUUAUCCGAAUUCACUGGGCGUAAAGCGCGUGCAGGCGGUAUGGCAAGUUGGAUGUGAAAUCUCCCGGCUCAACUGGGAGAGGCCGUUCAAUACUGCCAAACUAGAGGGCGACAGAGGGAGGUGGAAUUCCGGGUGUAGUGGUGAAAUGCGUAGAUAUCCGGAGGAACACCAGAGGCGAAGGCGACCUCCUGGGUCGCACCUGACGCUCAGACGCGAAAGCUAGGGGAGCAAACGGGAUUAGAUACCCCCGUAGUCC
rnacentral:rRNA from 1 species